rnacentral:rRNA from 1 species
UACGUAGGGGGCAAGCGUUGUCCGGAAUCAUUGGGUGUAAAGCGCGUGUAGGCGGCCCGGUAAGUCCGCUGUGAAAGUCCAGGGCUCAACCCUGGGAUGCCGGUGGAUACUGUCGGGCUCGAGUCCGGAAGAGGCGAGUGGAAUUCCUGGUGUAGCGGUGAAAUGCGCAGAUAUCAGGAGGAACACCGAUGGCGAAGGCAGCUCGCUGGGACGUGACUGACGCUGAGACGCGAAAGCGUGGGGAGCAAACAGG